UGGCCCCCUGGACAAAGACNNAGCUCAGGUGCGAAAGCGUGGGGAGCAAACAGGAUUAAUAGAUUCCGUGGUAGUUCAACCUGUAAACGAAGUCGAUUUAGAGAUUUGUGGUCUUGAACCGUGGCUUNNGGAGCUNACGCGUUAAAUCGNCCGCCUGGGGAGUACGGCCNCAAGGUUAAAACUCAAAUGAAUUGACGGGGGCCCGCACAAGCGGUGGAGCAUGUGGUUUAAUUCGAUGCAACGCGNAGUACCUUACCUACUCUUGACAUCCAGCGNAUCCUUUAGAGAUAGAGGAGUGCCUUCGGGAACGCUGAGACAGGUGCUGCAUGGCUGUCGUCAGCUCGUGUUGUGAAAUGUUGGGUUAAGUNCCGCAACGAGCGCAACCCUUAUCCUUUGUUGCCAGCACGUAAUGGUGGGAACUCAAAGGAGACUGCCGGUGAUAAACCGGAGGAAGGUGGGGAUGACGUCAAGUCAUCAUGGCCCUUACGAGUAGGGCUACACACGUGCUACAAUGGCAGAUACAAAGAGAANCGACCUCGCGAGAGCAAGCGGAACUCAUAAAGUCUGUCGUAGUCCGGAUUGGAGUCUGCAACUCGACUCCAUGAAGUCGGAAUCGCUAGUAAUCGUAGAUCAGAAUGCUACGGUGAAUACGUUCCCGGGUCCUUGUACACACCGCCCGUCACACCAUGGGAGUGGGUUGC
rnacentral:rRNA from 1 species